AUGGUGAAGCUGGGGUGUUCUCGGUUUCUUCUUUCCUGGCAUGCUCUUCUCUGCCUUUCGGCGAUUUGGGUGUUGGCCACGGCCGAUGUACCGGCAGGCCAGCGUCCCGACUGCCCGGCUAAGUGUGGCAACGUCGACAUUCCAUUCCCGUUUGGCAUCGACGAGAAGUGCGCGUUGCACAGCGGCUUUACCAUCAACUGCACGUCUGUGGUUGGCGGCGUCAGCAAGCCUUUUGUAAAUACAACGUGGUAUAACGAGCCGAUCGAGGUGACCAAGAUCUCCUUGCCUGACGGCAAGGCCUGGAUGAACGCCAUGACGAUCUCGUCGCAGUGCAAUGACACAGCCACUGGUACUAUGAUUUACCAAUUUGGCUACCUGGAUUUCACGGAUACACCUUUCUGGAUAUCGGAUGAUAACAUAAUUAUCGUCGUCGGAUGCAAUGCUACAGCUUAUACGAGCAGCUCUCGUGUUGCUCGUCCGAGUGCAGUCCGUACUAUUCCCCUGUGAAUGACACAUGUGAUGGUGCCGGCUGUUGUCAAGCUGAUGUCCCGAAAAACGUACCGGAUUAUUAUGGCUAUUUCAACAACAACACGGCAGAAACAUGGACAGACGGCAGUCCUUGCAUCUACGUGGUACUGGUGGAUAAGGCGGCCUUCAGUUUCAAAACUAGCUAUAUGUCAAAUCCAGACUGUUGGAAGAGACGUACAAAGGUGGAGUUCCUGUUGUGCUGAACUGGCGAAUAGAAGCGUCGAAUUGCGAGCAAGCUAAGAAGAACACGACUUCAUAUGCAUGUGUUAACAGCAACAGUAUAUGUGUGGAUUCCACCACCAUGAAACAAGGUUACCGCUGCAAUUGCUCCAAUGGGUACAAAGGCAACCCAUACAUCACGAACGGAUGCCAAGAUAUUGACGAGUGCCUUGAAAAUGCUAAUAUCUGCGGCUCUGGAAUCUGCGAGAACAUGUUAGGGCAUUACACCUGCUCAUGUCACGGACGGCAAGAUUGGACGGAUGGCACUUGUCAAUCCCGUUUUCCGGUGAUGCCUGUUGUAGGUGCAACUGUUGGACUAGUCGUCUUUGUGAUUGCUAUAGCCUGCGCAUGCAUGAUCCAAGAGAGAAGAAAGCUACACAAGAUGAAGCGGGAGACUUUCGGCAGCACGGUGGUCUGAUAUUAUUUGAUGAGAUGAGGUCAAAGCAAGGUAUUACAUUCAAAAUCUUCACGGAAGAAGAACUGCAGCAAGCCACAAACAAGUUCAGCGAACAACAAGUACUAGGUCAAGGGGGCUAUGGGACUGUGUACAAGGGACUUCUCAAGGGCGACGUGGAAGUAGCUGACAAGAGAUGCAAGACGGUUGAUGAGCAACAGAAGAAAGAAUUCGGAAAAGAGAUGUUAAUCCUGUCCCAGGUCAACCAUAGAAACAUUGUGAAGCUCCUCGGGUGUUGCCUCAAAGUGGAAGUCCCUAUGCUGGUAUACUAGUUCGUCCCAAAUGGCACCCUCUUCCAGCUCAUACACGGUACCCAUGGCAUGUGUAUCCCCUUGUCUACUCGCUUGGGAAUCGCCCACGAGUCCGCGGACGCGCUCGCCUACCUUCACUCAUCGACUUCGACGCCGAUCCUCCACGGGGAUGUCAAGUCCUCUAACAUUCUUCUUGACACGGACCACCAAGCUAAAGUGUCUGACUUUGGCGCCUCCAUCCUGGCACCAACUGAUAAGUCACAAUUCAUCACACUUGUACAUGGAACAUGCGGGUACCUUGACCCGAAGUACAUGCAAACCAACCUGCUGACGGACAAGAGCGACGUGUACAGCUUUGGGGUUGUUUUGUUGGAACUACUCACGGCCAAAUUGCCAUUUAAUUUCAAUCCGGAUGUCCCUGCCCACGAGAAGAGCCUAUCGAUGAUGUUUAUGUAUGCCAUGAAGGAGAAUAAGCUCGACCAGAUCUUGGAUAUUGAGAUCAAGGAUGGGGAUAACACAGAGAUUAUUAAAGAGAUCGCGGAGCUAGCGGUGCGAUGCUUAGAGAUGUGUGGUGACAAUAGGCAAUCCAUGAAGGAAGUUGCGGAGAAGCUUGAUAGUCUGAGGAAGGUGAUGCAACAUCCAUGGGUACAGCGGAACCCUGAAGAGACGGAAUGCCUACUUGGGGAGGCCUCAUCAAUGGCCAGCUCGACAAUAACUAGUGUUGCAUAUUUCAGCAUCGAGAAGAAAGUUGUUAACGAUCUGCAGUCUGGUCGUUAA
rnacentral:rRNA from 1 species